rnacentral:rRNA from 1 species
AGCGUAGACGGUGUGGCAAGUCUGAUGUGAAAGGCAUGGGCUCAACCUGUGGACUGCAUUGGAAACUGUCAUACUUGAGUGCCGGAGGGGUAAGCGGAAUUCCUAGUGUAGCGGUGAAAUGCGUAGAUAUUAGGAGGAACACCAGUGGCGAAGGCGGCUUACUGGACGGUAACUGACGUUGAGGCUCGAAAGCGUGAGGAGCAAACA